rnacentral:rRNA from 1 species
CCUACGGGUGGCAGCAGUGAGGAAUAUUGGUCAAUGGUCGAGAGACUGAACCAGCCAAGCCGCGUGAGGGAUGAAGGUACAGAGUAUCGUAAACCUCUUUUGUCAGGGAACAAAGGCCGGGACGUGUCCCCGGAUGAGUGUACCUGAAGAAAAAGCAUCGGCUAACUCCGUGCCAGCAGCCGCGGUAAUACGGAGGAUGCGAGCGUUAUCCGGUUUUAUUGGGUUUAAGGGGUGCGCAGGCGGACGGUAAAGUCAGCGGUAAAAGCCCGGUGCUCAACCCCGUCCCGCCGUUGAAACUGGGAGGCUCGAGUUGGAGAGAAGUAUGCGGAAUGCGCGGUGUAGCGGUGAAAUGCAUAGAUAUCGCGCAGAACUCCGAUUGCGAAGGCAGCAUGCCGGC